GACAGGGGUCUCAAGCGUUAAUCGGAAUCACUGGGCUUAAAGGGUGCGUAGGUGGCCGAGCAAGUGUCCCGUGAAAUCCCACGGCUCAACCGUGGAAUUGCGGGGCAAACUGCUCGGCUCGAGGAAGGUAGAGGCCGGCGGAACGAUAGGUGGAGCGGUGGAAUGCGUAGAGAUCUAUCGGAACGCCAAAGGUGAAGACAGCCGGCUGGGCCUUUCCUGACACUGAGGCACGAAAGCGUGGGGAGCAAACCGGAUUAGAUACCCGGGUAGUCCACGCCCUAAACGAUGCACACUAGACCGGAGCGGCUCUGACGUCGUUCUGGUCGCAGAGAAAUUGAUAAGUGUGCCGCCUGGGGAGUACGGUCGCAAGGCUAAA
rnacentral:rRNA from 1 species